UACGUAGGGGGCGAGCGUUGUCCGGAAUCAUUGGGCGUAAAGCGCGUGUAGGCGGCCCGGUAAGUCCGCUGUGAAAGUCCAGGGCUCAACCCUGGGAUGCCGGUGGAUACUGUCGGGCUCGAGUCCGGAAGAGGCGAGUGGAAUUCCUGGUGUAGCGGUGAAAUGCGCAGAUAUCAGGAGGAACACCGAUUGCGAAGGCAGCUCGCUGGGACGUUACUGACGCUGAGACGCGAAAGCGUGGGGAGCAAACAGG
rnacentral:rRNA from 1 species